ACUUCGCUUUAUUGUUGCACGCGCCAUUUAUAGUGUUUACAAUGUAUUACUGUUACACCAAAGAUUGUGGCAUUGUAGCCCUACAGUUCUAUUACUACAUCCAUGCUGAAUAAAGAGAUGAAGCAUUCUCAACACUGAGUUUCAGUACGGGACUAGAAGUUCAAAGUUCUCCUCUGUGGUACUUUCAUCAAUGUCACUGUCUCUGACUCAUCGUCUGUUCUGGCGUUAUCCAGAUAGCCCCCCAACCCCCCAACCCCCCGAACACAUAUUCUAUCAUCUCCACAUGGAAACAUUUUCAUCUACCAUUAAAUUAUUGUGAAUAAAGUCGUCUAAUAGAGAGGUUAAACAACUGACCGUGUACGUCUACCUGUACUUGUAACUAGGGGAAUCCCCUCUUUUAUUGAGUAUUACGUCAUCAUCUUUGCACACAGCGUCAUUCUACAAGUUGUAUACAACGCGUAGAGUUGUGAGUACACGGAGGGAAGUUGUCGGAAGUAAUCCCCUGAGAAACAAAAACAAAUGGGCUGAAAUAGCUGAAACUCUGUCAUCAUCGACUUUUAUUCUGAACUGUAGACGAGUGAGAGAACGUACAAAUCUCCUCAUUGAACAACAUAAACGAGAAACUAGGGAAAAUCUUAAAAGGUUUUUCUAUUGAAACCAUCUCUCUCUCUCUCUCUCUCUCUCUCUCUCUCUCUCUCUCUCUCUCUCUCUCUCUCUCUCUCUCUCUCUCUCCGAUACACCGCUUAUCUUUUAAUAUUCUUGUCUUGUUUUCCCAUGCCUAAAAUAUUUCAUAAUACCGUACACUAAUAUGUUUCCAUACAUUUUCAAUACACUUACGUUCCUGUAUGUUUAUUUUUUAAAGAUCUGGUGUCGAAGUCGGAAAAAACAAUACUGCUGGACGAUGUCGUAGAAUUAAAAAAUGAAGAGGAGAGAGAAGAAAGAAGAAAAAGAAAAGAAGGACAGAUAAGAAAACUUAGUGAAAGAAAUCAGGAAAAGGGCACUUGAAUGACUUACACCAACGAAAAACGGCGAAUACGAUUUGCCAGUAAUCAAGAGGAAGAAUUCGCAGACAUAUCUUGUGGAUUAUUUAAAAGAAAAAUCAAAAAAUGAGAUAUCUAUGAGAAAAUCACAAAUGGAAGUAAGAAAAGAAGAAUUAUAGUUGGAGAAGGCAGAGUUUGAAAUGGAGCGAGAGGAACGGAUGCAGAGAAUGGAAAUAGAAAAGCAAGAGAAACUUGCUUUCAUUGAUUUACUUAAUAAUUAACGAAAGAUAACUAAUCAUAAAAGGUGUUCAGAAGUGUAAAAUUUUAUUCCAGAUAUUUGUUUAAUUUAUCUGAAUAAACUAAACCAUUAAAGUCAA